CCUGACGACCAUAGCGAGUUGGUCCCACUCCUUCCCAUCCCGAACAGGACAGUGAAACGACUCCGCGCCGAUGAUAGUGCGGGUUCCCGUGUGAAAGUAGGUCAUCGUCAGGCUAUUUACCCUCAAAACCCCUCUCAGCGUUAGCUG
rnacentral:rRNA from 1 species